rnacentral:lncRNA from 1 species
AAACCGUCCAUAACCAAGCAUGUACGUCUCGCCAACCUCGCAACAUGAAAAAGAAAACAUAUUUUUUAUCUUAUGUCGAGAAAUACACGUCUUAGAAUUGAACACAUUCAAAUGUAUUGUGAUUUGUGAGCAUUGAGGCCACGGUCGGCGUAGGUGAAAAUAAUUAAAAUAAAAGACAUGAAUCUAUUGGGAUCUUGACUCAGGUUACUGGGUUAGGGACAUGUGGUAUUUUUUUCAUUGCAAUGCACGAACUAUUUUUGUAGUUUAUCAUGAAGGGUCUUUGAUAUUAUUUGUGUCACUUUUCUCAUUAUUUAUACUGACAGAGAAAAAAAAUUGAUAUCCAACUCGCCUUCCACAUGUACAAGCUCUGCGGAAUAAAAAUCUCAAGCGGCAAAUUGAGCCAAGAGCUUAUGGUUAGUUUUUUCAUGGUCGAACCAGUUCAUAAGUGUUUCAAAUUCUAAACUUAACUUUAGUGCUCGUAUAUUUCUAUUUUUAUUUUAAUCUUUUCGAUGAUGCUUAUGUUUACAUGG